rnacentral:rRNA from 1 species
AUUGAACGCUGGCGGCAGGCUUAACACAUGCAAGUCGAGUGGGGGAGGUUACUUCGGUAACUGACCUAGCGGCGGACGGGUGAGUAAUGCUUAGGAAUCUGCCUAUUAGUGGGGGACAACAUUCCGAAAGGAAUGCUAAUACCGCAUACGCCCUACGGGGGAAAGCAGGGGAUCUUCGGACCUUGCGCUAAUAGAUGGGCCUAAGUCGGAUUAGCUAGUUGGUGGGGUAAAGGCCUACCAAGGCGACGAUCUGUAGCGGGUCUGAGAGGAUGAUCCGCCACACUGGGACUGAGACACGGCCCAGACUCCUACGGGAGGUAGCAGUGGGGAAUAUUGGACAAUGGGCGGAAGCCUGAUCCAGCCAUGCCGCGUGUGUGAAGAAGGCCUUUUGGUUGUAAAGCACUUUAAGCGAGGAGGAGGCUCCUUUAGUUAAUACCUAAAGAGAGUGGACGUUACUCGCAGAAUAAGCACCGGCUAACUCUGUGCCAGCCGCCGCAGUAA